GCACAUCUUCUGAUCACGCUCCAGUGAGGGAAUUAAGGACGGCACAUUGUCCUUGUAAUGGUGAUCCAGCAGGGUGGCCACCCAGUAAUCAGCACAAGUUAGAAUGUGGGCAACUUGGCAGUCGUUGCGCAGGCACUUUGGUGAAUCUAGAUAACCUCAGGCCGAUCGCACGUCCCCGUGACGACGACAACGCAUUCAGAUGUCUGCCCUAUCAACUUUCGAUGGUACUUUCUGUGCCUACUAUGGUGACCACGGGUAACAGGGAAUCAGGGUUCGAUUCCGGAGAGGGAUCCUGAGAAACGGCUGCCACAUCCAAGGAAGGCAGC